rnacentral:lncRNA from 1 species
GUUCCAAUUGCGUGCGCGUAUGGAUGCUCCUUUCGCCGCCGCCUUUCUAGCAACUAGUUGAUGUUAUGAUGCAUCGUUGGUCCGGUGUACGACGGCGCCUGGUGCGAUUUAUGCGUCCGGAAGCCCUUUCAGCCUCCAGGCAUGUCCCCACCUGCCUCACAGCCACCGACGCAUCUCACGGCGGGGGUCUAAUUGCGUGCGCGUAUGGAUGCUCCUUUCGCCGCCUUUCUAGCAACUAGUUGAUGUUAUGAUGCAUCGUUGGUCCGGUGUACGACGGCGCCUGAUGCGAUUUAUGCGUCCGGAAGCCCUUUCAGCCUCCAGGCAUGUCCCCACCUGCCUCACAGCCACCGACGCAUCUCACGGCGGGGUUCCAAUUGCGUGCGCGUAUGGAUGCUCCUUUCGCCGCCGCCUUUCCAGCAACUAGUUGAUGUUAUGAUGCAUCGUUGGUCCGGUGUACGACGGCGCCUGGUGCGAUUUAUGCGUCCGGAAGCCCUUUCAGCCUCCAGGCAUGUCCCCACCUGCCUCAUAGCCACCGACGCAUCUCACGGCGGGGUUCCAAUUGCGUGCGCGUAUGGAUGCUCCUAUUCGCCGCCGCCUUUCUAGCAACUAGUUGAUGUUAUGAUGCAUCGUUGGUCCGGUGUACGACGGCGCCUGAUGCGAUUUAUGCGUCCGGAAGCCCUUUCAGCCUCCAGGCAUGUCCCCACCUGCCUCACAGCGACCGAGGCAUCUCACGGCGGGGGUCUAAUUGCGUGCGCGUAUGGAUGCUCCUUUCCCCGCCGCCUUUCUAGCAACUAGUUGAUGUUAUGAUGCAUCGUUGGUCCGGCGUAUGACGGCGCCUGGUGCGAUUUAGGCGUCCGGAAGCCCUUUCAGCCUCCAGGCAUGUCCCCACCUGCCUCACAGCCACCGACGCAUCUCACGGCGGGGGUCUAAUUGCGUGCGCGUAUGGAUGCUCCUUUCCCCGCCGCCUUUCUAGCAACUAGUUGAUGUUAUGAUGCAUCGUUGGUCCGGCGUACGACGGCGCCUGAUGCGAUUUAUGCGUCCGGAAGCCCUUUCAGCCUCCAGGCAUGACCCCACCUGCCUCACAGCUACCGAGGCAUCUCACGGCGGGGGUCCAAUUGCGUGCGCGUAUGGAUGCUCCUUUCCCCGCCGCCUUUCUAGCAACUAGUUGAUGUUAUGAUGCAUCGUUGGUCCAGUGUACGACGGCGCCUGAUGCGAUUUAUGCGUCCGGAAGCCCUUUCAGCCUCCAGGCAUGUCCCCACCUGCCUCACAGCCACCGACGCAUCUCACGGCGGGGUUCCAAUUGUGUGCGCGUAUGGAUGCUCCUUUCCCCGCCGCCUUUCUAGCAACUAGUUGAUGUUAUGAUGCAUCGUUGGUCCGGUGUACGACGGCGCCUGAUGCGAUUUAUGCGUCCGGAAGCCCUUUCAGCCUCCAGGCACGUCCCCACCUGCCUCACAGCCACCGACGCAUCUCACGGCGGGGUUCCAAUUGUGUGCGCAUAUGGAUGCUCCUUUCCCCGCCGCCUUUCUAGCAACUAGUUGAUGUGAUGAUGCAUCGUCGGUCCGGUGUACGAUGGCGCCUGAUGCGAUUUAUGCGUCCGGAAGCCCUUUCAGCCUCCAGGCAUGUCCCCACCUGCCUCACAGCUACCGAGGCAUCUCACGGCGGGGUUCCAAUUGUGUGCGCGUAUGGAUGCUCCUUUCCCCGCCGCCUUUCUAGCAACUAGUUGAUGUUAUGAUGCAUCGUUGGUCCGGUGUACGAUGGCGCCUGAUGCGAUUUAUGCGUCCGGAAGCCCUUUCAGCCUCCAGGCACGUCCCCACCUGCCUCACAGCCACCGACGCAUCUCACGGCGGGGGUCUAAUUGCGUGCGCGUAUGGAUGCUCCUUUCCCCGCCGCCUUUCUAGCAACUAGUUGAUGUUAUGAUGCAUCGUUGUUCCAGUGUACGACGGCGCCUGAUGCGAUUUAUGCGUCCGGAAGCCCUUUCAGCCUCCAGGCAUGUCCCCACCUGCCUCACAGCCACCGACGCAUCUCACGGCGGGGUUCAUAUUGCGUGCGCGUAUGGAUGCUCCUUUCGCCGCCUUUCCAGCAACUAGUUGAUGUUAUGAUGCAUCGUUGGUCCGGCGUACGACGGCGCCUGAUGCGAUUUAUGCGUCCGGAAGCCCUUUCAGCCUCCANN